GAUAAGAACGCAGCGAAAUGCGAUAAGUAAUGUGAAUUGCAGAAUUCAGUGAAUCAUCGAAUCUUUGAACGCACAUUGCGCCCCCUGGUAUUCCGGGGGGCAUGCCUGUUCGAGCGUCAUUUCACCACUCAAGCCUCGCUUGGUAUUGGGCAACGCGGUCCGCCGCGUGCCUCAAAUCGACCGGCUGGGUCUUCUGUCCCCUAAGCGUUGUGGAAACUAUUCGCUAAAGGGUGUUCGGGAGGCUACGCCGUAAAACAACCCCAUUUCUAAGGUUGACCUCGGAUCAGGUAGGGAUACCCGCUGAACUUAAGCAUAUCAAUAAGCGGAGGA
rnacentral:misc_RNA from 1 species